UUUACACACACAUGUUUGUACAUCGCUCCGGUAGCUCCAUUGCUGCUUAGCCUCUGUUCCUCAAUUCCAAUGUUAUGCAGCAAAAUAUAUUGGUGCCUCUUUGGUGUGGACAGUCAAGAGGGGGAGGCUAACAAUUUUUGUAGCAUCUUCCCUAAUCUGCCAGUGCCGUUCUAAAAAGAAUGUAUCAGCAAACCAGACGCAAUGACUUCACCAACAGAGAAAAUCGUGCUGAAAAGCUCCUCAACAGUUUCCCUCAACGAUCGCUUCACGACCAUGCUGAACAAGCAGCUGGAGCCAGUGGCUGUACGAGUCAACAUACAGCAAGUGGCCAGUGUCCGCAACAGGAGACUGGCUCUGCAGAUGGAGAAACAGGACCUCUGUGCAGGCUGCCUUGCAGCCCAAGGUGAGGGACUAA